UGACGGAAAACAAAAAAUUGUAUUUAAUUUCGACUUAAACCUAUGGUAAACUUUUACUUACCUCCGUUAA
rnacentral:tRNA from 1 species